GGGCUGUGAGGUGCAGACUGGCAGCAGUGCUGAAAUCAAGCACCGGGAAUCAAAAAUAGCACAUACCUGCCUGCAAAAUGCAGCAGGAUCGACUUACAGGCACUGGCAGUUAUCCAAAGAAUGCUGUUACAGAAGCGCUCCGGCACAGCUGGGAUGAUAAUGAAAAAUAGCAGCCCAGAAUAAUGAAGCUUAAAUACAAAGUGAAUAAGAAUGUCAAUAGUCACAGUCCAGCUUGGCCAGUGUGGUAAUCAGAUUGGUCAUGAGGUGUUCAAUGCUCUCUGCAGUGACGUCCAUGGCACACAUGGGUUGUGUUCCAAGAAGGAGAAUGAAUCCUACCAUGAUGCUUGCAAAGAACGCUUUUUCAGUGAGGAGGAAUCUGAAGGUACAGCAUUACCUGUUGCCCGGGCUGUGCUUGUUGACAUGGAACCUAAAGUAAUCAGCCAAACCUUAUCAAUAGCUGCCAGGUCUGGCUGCUGGAAAUACGAUGAUCGGUCGCACUUCUGUCAGAAGCAAGGGUCUGGGAACAACUGGGCAAAUGGUUACUCUGUUCACGGGCCUAGACACAAAGAAGCAAUAAUGAAUCUGGUACAAAAAGAAGCAGAGAAAUGCGAUCGACUCGGUGGAUUUUUCACAAUAAUGAGCAUGGCUGGUGGUACAGGAUCUGGCUUGGGAGCAUUUGUGACCCAGUGUUUAAGAGAUGCUUUUCCAACCUCAUUUAUACUAAACCAUGUUAUCUGGCCUUAUGGCACUGGUGAGGUCAUUGUUCAAAACUACAACUCUCUUUUGACUCUGUCACAUCUGUACCAGUCAUCAGAUGCCCUUCUUGUUCAUGAAAAUGAUGUCAUCCACAAGAUCUGUGCUCAGCUGAUGAAAAUUAAACAGAUCUCCUUCAGGGAUGUAAAUCAAGUCAUUGCACAUCAGCUGGGGAGUGUUUUCCAGCCCACUUACACAGCAGAAGGUGGCUUACACUAUAGCAGAAACCCAUUAGGAGACUUAAUGGAGACGUUAGUUCCACAUCCCGAAUUCAAGAUGUUGGGUCUUCGCAACAUACCUCAGAUGCCUGAAAAUUCCCUCCCUUAUAGCACAUUCAGUUGGCCUGGACUCAUCAAACAUUUAAGGCAGAUGCUCAUUGCUAAUGCUAAAAUGGAGGAAGGUAUUGAUUGGCAAGUACGACCACCGCAGCUAGGCUCUUCCAUCCCCUCCAGUCAUUCCACAAACAAGCCGCUGCAUUUCAAUACUUCCAUUGCCAACCUGGUUAUCCUGCGAGGAAAAGAUAUGCACAACAUAGACUUAGGAAGUUUCCGAGAUCCCUCAUUAUAUACGUCAUGGCUAAACCCUCAGGAUGCUUUUAAUGCGUGGAAAACACCAAGAGCAUUUAACAAGUACGAAAAGUCAGCUGCUUUGGUCAGCAAUAGCCAGUUCCUGCUGAAACCUCUUGACAAUGUUGUAGGAAAAGCUUGGAAUAUGUUUGCUUCCAAAGCCUAUAUUCACCAGUACACUAAAUUCGGAAUCGAAGAGGAAGAUUUCCUGGACAGCUUCACAGCUCUGGAACAAGUUAUCUCCAGUUACACCAUCCUUUGAUUUUUUUUUUAAAUCGUCUGAAAUAGAGCCUUCCUGAAAGAACCCAGCGCUAGAAAACCUUCCAUCAACUUCCUGAACUAUAUAAAUUACUGGACUGUAGCUAUUUUUCAGUCUUGCCAGGUACAGAAGCACCAAAAUCCGCCCCCGAGCACCUGUUCUCAAACCAGCUGUGGCGCACGACACCUGGAAUGGCAAAGAGACUUCUUGACGAGGUUCAAGUAACUGUACGAUUGAAUCUGAAGCAAGUCCAGUUUCUUUCAGAGACAGAAAAGAAACGCUAAGCGCACAAACCUGCUUUUUUCAAGCCUUUUCAACAGAUGGAAAGAGCCUAAGAAACAUUCCGUCUCAGGAAAGACACACAGUCCAUUAAAACUCACACGGUUUCGACA